rnacentral:rRNA from 1 species
UCCGUAGGGGGCAAGCGUUGUCCGGAUUUAUUGGGCGUAAAGAGCGUGUAGGCGGCCAGGUAGGUCCGUUGUGAAAACUCGAGGCUCAACCUCGAGACGUCGAUGGAAACCAUCUGGCUAGAGUCCGGAAGAGGAGAGUGGAAUUCCUGGUGUAGCGGUGAAAUGCGCAGAUAUCAGGAGGAACACCGGUGGCGAAGGCGGGUCUCUGGGCCGAUACUGACGCUGAGGAGCGAAAGCAUGGGUAGCGAACAGG